GCUCUUUCCGUGACAACUGCAGCCCGAGGCCGUCAAAUCCGUCACCGUCGCCAUUCUUCUGCUCGAGGCCUUUGCCACCAUGGAUGGAUGCGGGCAAGGCCAGCCUCCCCCUCCCCACGCAUAGGUGACUAUGCGAGUUGCAUUGAUAGAAUCCAUGUACUAAACUGGGGCAUUUUUGGCAGCUGCAGCAACCUGACAAUUAAUUUGUUCUCAUCCAAGGUGCUCCCCACGGUGAGGAACGGACGUGCUCAACGCCUUCCUUCCCAACCAGAUAUGAGAAAGAAGAAAUAGGACCAAGAAAAUUAGUUGCUCAUAUAUUCAUGUGUCUUGCGGAGAAGAACCCGAAUGGAUAACUUGGUAUGCCAAGUAAUGUGCAGGUUGCUUUUGUCCUCUCACCUGGUCUUUGGUCUUCGUCUAUUGCUCUGCUGGCUUAUCAUCUCCUCGGUUGGAGGUUGUUCUUGGUCCUGCCAUUUGUUCUUGUUAGAGCUCACUGAAAAUAUUUAUUCUCACCUAUGCUAAUGCCUUUCGGUUAAACUAGGAAUUAUUUCAUUGUUGGAAGCUUUCAUCUGCAUAUAUGCGUAAGGGGCUGUGUAUUUAUUUUGUUUCAUUCAUUUUUUGGUCUAUUUAUUUUGCACAGAAAACCAUUUGUGGUAUGCUUUGAUGGGUCUUAUUUAAUACAAUAUAGACAAAAUUGGAAGUAGUAGCAAACUAGCCAUGAAAAUUUUGAGAAAACUAUGCUAACCACAAGCAAUGAUGUACUCCUGGAUUUUGCCAUGAUAUUGUAGCCCACUUCCAAGACUCUAUGUGCUAAUGUUAGCUACUUGCUUCUUUAGCUGCUCUAAUUAGGAACCAAUUAUCUGUGUGGUUUAUCGUCUUAAAAUUGUUACUAUUCACUUAGUGGGGGAGUGUAAGAAGUAACUGAUCUUAGAGAACACUACACACCAGAGCAGGAAGCCGAAGUCAGGAAGGAGAAUGCAUGUACCCUUAAGGACUGAAGAAUGAUGUUUAAUCUUGCUUUUGUCUACGUUGCUAUUCUUGGUUCAGAUCCUUACCUUCGGUUCAGUUCCAUGUAGUCUUAUGGAUAGAUGGACAAGUUGGUGAAAACUGAAAACUACAGGAUGGAUUAAUUAAUCGGUUAAUUAAUCGUUGUUGCCCCUAAUUUUGUUUCAGCUUCAUCAACACCUUACAUUUGCUUGGUAGAAAUUUAAACUGAACACCAACUUCAUUUAUGUUAUACUCGGGUAAUGGACUUCUUCAGAUAUACAAUUUCCUCGAGCAAAGUUUACAAUGCUUUUGUGCCACUUAUGACAUGCUUCACAAUUUUUUUGUCUUUCCUUGUGGAUCGUCCAUUUGAACAAUAUAUAUCAAUGUAAAUAACCUUACAUUUCCUUCUAUUUCAAUCGAUUUAAGGUACUCAUGUAUAAUGAUUACUAAUGACCAGCUGCAGCCACCGCCUAAUCUAACAUUGUUGUAGUCAUGGCUUUUGGCAUCUGUGUAUUCCAUUUAGUUACCUUUGCCUAAUGCGUCCUGAUGAGAGGCAUUCUUGUUGCCCUGUACACAGCUUUGCGUUGUAUGAUUGUUACUAUUUCUCCCCGCAUUCUCUCCUUUGCAUUGUCUGACUAUUACAUGAUUAAUAGAUGAACAAUCCUAUAUCCGCAAUGAAAGGCAAGGGACAAGCUCCUGUGACUAAAUACCUAGAUAUGGUUUUGUUCUGAUUGUAUAUGUGAUGAUUUUAUCCAUGUGUAUGUAUGUGGUCUUCAAAGUUGUUGAAAGAUUGAAAGCGUAAGCAAGUUCGCCAAAUUCCUUCGGUAAGUCAUAUAUUCUUGUGUCUCUUUCCUAUGUUUUAGAGGUUUAUAGAAGAUAUGAGGUAGAAUAUUUCCUUUUCAGUAUAUCUGAAAUUAUAUGGGAGAGAUUACUAGCUCACACAUAUAGUUCGGUUAUUAGCUUUCUAAAUAAGUUCAGCCCUAGAGCACAUAUUUUUGCAUCCAUUGCUUAUUUAAUCCAUUGGUAUCUAUUUUCUCCGGUUCAUAUAGUAUGUUUACAUUUGACUUGGAAUUGUCUGUACUUUUGUUCUGCUUUUGUUUCAAGGUACUUUCAAAGAAAUCAAUGUCCCAUCUGUCUAUGGAAAACUCUAAGAAGGCUCGAUUGGCACAUGAAGCUCUUAAAUACUUGAGAGCCUUUUACAACAAGGUCCUAUAAGACUACAUACAUAUAUUACACCGGUUGUCCCAGCUCAUAGUUGGUUGUCAUCAGUCCGGUUGGUUGAACAAGGUCCUAUAAGACUACAUACAUAUAUUGCUACAGAUAUGGUGUUGCCAUUUUAUUGCUACAGAUAUGGUUGUUCUGAUUGUAUACAUACAUAUAAUUCUGCAGUUUG